rnacentral:rRNA from 1 species
GAGCUCGUAGGCGGUUUGUCGCGUCUGCCGUGAAAGUCCGGGGCUCAACUCCGGAUCUGCGGUGGGUACGGGCAGACUAGAGUGAUGUAGGGGAGACUGGAAUUCCUGGUGUAGCGGUGAAAUGCGCAGAUAUCAGGAGGAACACCGAUGGCGAAGGCAGGUCUCUGGGCAUUAACUGACGCUGAGGAGCGAAAGCAUGGGGAGCGAACAGGAUUAGAUACCCUGGUAGUCCAUGCCGUAAACGUUGGGCACUAGGUGUGGGGGACAUUCCACGUUUUCCGCGCCGUAGCUAACGCAUUAAGUGCCCCGCCUGGGGAGUACGGCCGCAAGGCUAAAACUCAAAGGAAUUGACGGGGGCCCGCACAAGCGGCGGAGCAUGCGGAUUAAUUCGAUGCAACGCGAAGAACCUUACCAAGGCUUGACAUGAACCGGUAAGACCUGGAAACAGGUCCCCCGCUUGCGGUCGGUUUACAGGUGGUGCAUGGUUGUCGUCAGCUCGUGUCGUGAGAUGUUGGGUUAAGUCCCGCAACGAGCGCAACCCUCGUUCUAUGUUGCCAGCACGUGAUGGUGGGGACUCAUAGGAGACUGCCGGGGUCAACUCGGAGGAAGGUGGGGACGACGUCAAAUCAUCAUGCCCCUUAUGUCUUGGGCUUCACGCAUGCUACAAUGGCCGGUACAAAGGGUUGCGAUACUGUGAGGUGGAGCUAAUCCCAAAAAGCCGGUCUCAGUUCGGAUUGGGGUCUGCAACUCGACCCCAUGAAGUCGGAGUCGCUAGUAAUCGCAGAUCAGCAACGCUGCGGUGAAUACGUUCCCGGGCCUUGUACACACCGCCCGUCAAGUCACGAAAGUUGGUAACACCCGAAGCCGGUGGCCUAACCCCUUGUGGGAGGAGCUGUCGAAGUGGGACUGGCGAUUGGGA